CUUGAGGGAGCCCAGCCACAGCGGGCGGGCGGUGUCCCGGUCCCGGCCGUAGGUGUCCUGGAGGGCCUUCAGCUC
rnacentral:antisense_RNA from 1 species